ensembl:snRNA U1 U1 spliceosomal RNA
AUACUUAGCUGGCAGGGGAAUGCCAUGAACACAGAGGUGGUUUUUCCUUUGUGAGGUUUAACCAUGACAUGUGGGGCAUGCUGACCUCUGGGAUUUCCCCCAAAGCAGGAAACUCCACCCGUAAUUUGUGGUGAUGGGAGAGUGUGUUUAUGGCCUCCUC